UGGCUGUGAGGUUGUUUUUAGUUUGGGUUUCGUUUUGUGUGGUACCUUUUGCAUCAUGAUUUAUUGAUGGGUUUCUGUAUAGGGGUAUCCGAAGGAUACUGAUUUUUGUCCUGCUUGCUUAGUGGUUAUUUUAAGGGUGAGGAAUUCUUUAUAAAGUAUGGACGGGGUUGUGAUAGAUGAUUCGGAGUAUCUGAUAUCUGAUAGGGGUAAGUGUUUUUGGUUUAAAAUAGUUUGGUGAGGAUAUCGGGCUAUGGGUUAGAUUUUAGUUGGUUGUUUGAUUUUAUCGGGGGUUAAAGUUCUCCUCGAGUUUGGUAUAUGUUACUAUUCUUUAUCUUUUUGUUUUAAAUUUAUGUGGGUUUGCUCCUUAGGUUUAAUUUUAGGGUUAUUAAUGAUAGAAUAAGUAGGUGUUAUGAUUGAUUUUAGUUUUUCUCGAUUAUUUCCGGUCUGUUUAUUAAAAACAUUUCCAUUUGGAUUUAUGAAUGGUAGUGCCUGCCCAGUGCGUUGUAAAUGGCCGCAGUAUUUUGACUGUGCUAAGGUAGCAUAAUUAGUUGCCUCGUAAUUGGAGGAUUGUUUGAAAGGUUUGACUAGGGGGUUGGAUUAGAUUAGGAUUUGUGCUGAAAUUGAAGUUGAGGUGUAGAUUCCUCGGAGUGGGAAUAAGACGGAAAGACCCCGAGAUCUUUAUAUUGUGAUAUUUGUUUGGGGUAAAACGCUAUGUUUUAUGUUGUUUUUGAUCCUAAAGGAUAGAAGGUUUAAGUUACCUCGGGGAUAACUAGGUAAAAAAUGAGGAGAGGUCAGAUCGAUUUAUUUUAUUGCCAUCUCGAUGUUGACUUAAGAAUAAUAAAGAGGUGUAGGAGUUUCUUUAUAGGGUCUGUUCGACCUUAGUUUCUUUCAUGAGUUGAGUUAAGACCGGCGUGAGCCAGGUCGGUUCUUAUCUAUUGGUGGUGCGAAUUAGUACGAAAGGAUUGUUUGUGCUUAAGGUUU
rnacentral:rRNA from 1 species